UAUCGAUGAAGUAGAACCUUUAAAACUGGCGACGCCUAUGUUUUCUUACUAACCAUCCUGAAAUUGCUAAAGUGAGUCAUCAUUCGCAUAACUGAAUUUUCUAGCAGCUGUCUAUAUUCGUGUACAAUGUAGCGGCGUAUCCACUGUAUCCGUUUACUCUCAUUUCGAUUGUUUUUCUAAUUUUUCUUUAUUUUUAUUAAGCAUUUUGCAUUCGAUGCUUCUUUGGCACCAAAGAUUCUGAGCUCGAAACCUACACUGGCUUUUGUUGAGAUAAAUGUCAUGUUGGUAUGAUCGCUAGUUCCUACAUCCAGUGUUAGAACAACUGCUUUGCGAUUCUCUUCUGUUUUUCCCCAUCCGUCACGUCUUUUUUAUCUGAGUUUUCGCUGUGUGUAAAUGGCUGUACAAGGUGUUGAAGUACACAGGAUACACAGGUGUGAAGUACACAGUACAAUGAAGUACACAGGAUACAACAGGAUAAUCUGUAUGAAUCAAUUGAAUUUCAAAACCCAAACCAAUGUAAUAACAGCUUUAAACAGCAUCUGAAAAACGAUAAGUUCAAUAAUCUCGCUGUUCAUUUGAUUCGCAUUUAUUUUGCGAAAGACGAUAUAAAUAUUUUCUCCCACGUACUUAACAAAGGAAGGUUAUAGAUAUGCACUUAAUUUAAAGAAAUGGUGAAAAAUUAUGAGAUUUAGUCUAAGUGCAUCCUUUACUGGCUUUACUGAACUACGCAAUUAUCGUGUACACCAAUAAAUGGCAUCAAAUGCACAUGUUAUACAUUAUUUGACAUACUCUAUUGUGAAUUAUCCUUCGAAGGCUUUGCUAUAUUGUUUUAUCAAAAGAAUUUAGAGUGACUUGUGUGCAACUAUCUACCCUAUUCUAUAAAUUAUUUCAAGAAAUACCAUGAACCAUACAGGUCUUCGUUAAGGCCUUAACAGAGAAAACUAUUACUCUUGAAGACGAAGCUUCUGACACGAUAGAGAAUGUUAAAGCAAGGAACUUUUAAAACCCUGUGCAUUAAGUUUAGAGACAAAUCAUUGAGAAAGUGUUCAGAGUAGUUUACUUCCAAUCACCUUGACUUGAAAUCUGAACAAACUGCUACCUACUUCUUCAAAUUUAUAUUUUACACAAAAUGAACAUAAUGAGGAAAUUAAUUUUGAAUAUCAAAGAUGAAACAAAGGAGAAACAAUGGUUUGUAAAUGAAGAUGAAGAUGAAGCAAUGCUAACUUGUUCAAAAAGUAGAAAGAAUUGUUACAGUCCAUUCAGCCACAAGAUUUAAAUAUUCAACACAAAGAAGAUGUUGAUGCUAUUCUUGAAUAUGUGCCUCAAUUUAGUCUAUUGCGCCAACAAAAUGUUCUUCCAAAUAUGAAGGAUGAAAAUGUAUUUAGGGAAAAUACACCAUCACCACCACGUUACAGGACACCUCCAAGAGGAAUGAUUUUAAAUUCAGAAGAAGCAAAAGUGUUUAUUUUACUAAAACAUUACGGAUUAGGUCAAUACCUAAAUUCCUCGUUCAAGAAGUUGACAUUGAUUUGUUUAUGACUUUAACUAAUGAAAUGAACUAAUGAACUAAUUGAGAUUGGUA